UUUAGGGUUUCUUCAUCAAACUAUUCACUUCACAACUACAAACGUAUCCUUUAUAUUUCCCAAAUUAAAUUCAUAAACUGUUCAUCUUUCUCUAUCUAUACAUCCUCCCGUCUUUACUCAGCCUAUCAAUAAUGGUUGGGUUUCGAAGUUCUCACCAAUAUAUAGUUCAUCACAGAAGGAGUCCUUCCUCUACCUGCUUCCGUUGCUCAAGCCGUCUGCGACUCAACUUUUGAGGCUCUUUGACUUGCCUGGAAUUCUCAAUUCAUUGUUGCUCGCCUCCUCAGCUUCUGGGAGCAUCAGACAGCCUGUCUCAGUUUCUGGGAGACGCCUAACGUCAAGAAAAAUGCAGUGUGGGUUUUGUCAAGCCAGAGCCAAAUCGGCAGACAUCUCCAUGCGCUGGACAACGACAUCAAACUUCAUGCUCUGCCGGAGAAACAUCACGUGACACAGCCAGAGAGUUGGAACCAUCACACGCUUUGGAGGAAGACGAUGGUAAUGGAGAGUCAAACGCAAACACUGGUGUGGCUUUGGUAUGGAGAGGUUCUCAGAUGUGUCUAAGGAAGAAAGAAGGAUCUCGAUUCCAUAUAGUAUAACAUCUAACUUUGAAAGAAUGGUCAGAAGCACUCAUUCACCGUGAAGCCUGAUUUUUCUGUUGGGAGUAAUCAGAAGCCUUCUGCUGCAAGAAAAGAACUCAGGUGUCCUUUGAUUUCUACUAGGGAGCCGUUUAAGUGGUGUUGGUUUCAUGUCGGUGCAACUACACAAUGAUCUAUUGCAGGAUUCAGCAGAGGCAGUUGCAACAGCUUAGAGCUUCUACAAUGGCUGAGAAAGUGGAAGAGUCUUUGUGCCUCGAGAUGAAACUCUGAGAAAUAGCAUGAUAAUCUCCUUUUCAACAACCAUCAUGAGUUCGGGAGUCCAUUAACACUUUACGUUUUUUCUUUUAUAUUUCUUAAAUUUGUGGAGACAGCCCUGAUGUCUUCUGAUUUGGUUUUGGUUUUGUAGGUUCAAAGCCUAGAAUUUAUCCAGCGUUCAAUAUCUAACAAGGAAGACAAUUAGAUUCUUUAAAAUUUUGAUUGGGUAAAUGGCUGUAGAGUGUACAAGUAAUGCCUACAUUAUUGAAUAUAUGUAACAGGUACUACUCAAUGUACAGACGUGUGGAGAAAUGUGAUUGAGUUUGGAUUUGAACUGGAGAUACAUUCAUCCAUCGUUAACAAGUGUGGUGGAGUGUAAAAGGUACUACUAAAUGUACAGACAUGUGGAGAAACUAGCACAAGAGAUUAGGAAAGGUGCUGCUUCUGUUGAUAUGGUGUCGUUGCCAAACUAUGGCAGGUACCAGGGACGCUCCAAGAAGAUCUGCUCUGUAAGAUGAGUGCACCACCAAACAGUGAUGCUCCUCUUAUCACCUCCAACGACCUUGCCGAGGCUGAUGCGUUUGUCUUUGGCUUCCCAACAAGGUUCAGUAUGAUGGCUGCUCAGUUCAAGGCAUUCUUAGGUGCAACUGGUGGUCUCUGAAGGACUCAACAACUUGCUGGUAAGCCAGCCAGAAUAUUCUAGAGCACCAGGGUCUCAAGGUGCUGGUCAAGAAACCACCGCGUAUGUUUCUUUUCCAAACCAACACCUCAUUAACUACACUUGCUUCGGUUCUUAUGUUUUGUAGUGUUUACUUGUGUUAUCAUUGAUUUCUAACACAAUUCGGUUUUGUAAUAUUUUUUAUCAGGAGUCAAAAACUAUAUCUUUAGAACUAACUCUAUUUUUAUAAAUCUUGAUCUUAUACCAGUUAUUUGUCUGGGCGUUGCUCAAAAAAAAAAGAUAACUUAUUUGUCUAGGCAAGAUAAUAACGCUAUCAUACAAAUUCUACUAACCCCUUUUCUGAGGCCGACAAAACACCAAGAAAAUACGAAACCAAAUAUCGCCCAUAUAAGUGUGUAAAUACUUUUUCAAACUAUUGAAAAUAUAGCAACCUAAUCCAAAAUCAAAAUCGAAAAUUCCAUACACUGUUCAGAUUCACGCAUUCAAAUUGAACUCAAAAUUUUAUUAGGUUUCUCAUAAAAUUAUUUGAAUGGUUCCUAUAUUUUUGAACUGAAAUCAAAAACCAUAAUCGAACUAGAACCAAACCAAAAC